UGGAAUUUCCCACAAUGGACACCCACCCAC
rnacentral:piRNA from 1 species